rnacentral:lncRNA from 1 species
GCAGAGCUAUUACAAAGUUUAGGAGAAAAGAGUAUCCCGCGGGGGAUAAAGGUUGGUCCCGAAUGGGAUGAAGGCUUGGCUGACUACAGCUUCGUUUGGAAGGCAAAUCUGGCUUUGAGCAGAGUUUUGGCUUGCAGUUGUUUGUUUGUUUGAGUGUUCUUGCUCCUGUCUUCUCUUCUUCCUUUUAUAGACGACUUGACUCGGCUUCCUGUAGCAACAGCUUUGCCCGAAUGCGGUCUGAGGGUGAUGACUCAUCAGCUUUAUUACAUGUAAUGCCACCAUAAAGUACUUUAUGGGCUGUGCAGUCUGAUCAGUCUACACUACUUGGUCCUUGGGUAGGUAGGCAAGUGGCCUUUGUGAUUUGUAUCAAGUCAGAAAAGGCCAUUUCCUGCCUUCCCAAGUUUCGGCUGGGUUUUGAUCUUCUAUUCCUCUAGGCCCCCUUUUGGGCCGACUUCAUCCUUGGGCCUGAAGUUCAGUUUUAAUCCAAACAGUGCCCCCUUCAAUUAAUGUUAAACCUGGAAUUCCAGGCGCCAAUAUUAAUUGAAAGAGAUUCUUUAUUAAACCCACGAAUACCUUGCGAUUGCACUUCUGCGAAAGGAAUCCCUACUUCUCCCCACCACUUUUCUCUGUUGCCCGACAAGGUUGCAUUUUAUCCUCUUUCUUUCUCUAUCUUCACCAAAUGGCUUCAGGAUCCAGCCAAAACCCACCAUCUUAUGAGUCCGGCGAUGGAAUCGCCACCCUACGCCGUCUACUCAACGGGAUGCAUCGUCCGCGGGCAGGUUUACACCCUGAACUAUUCUUCGAGAUGCAUGGGGUACAGUCAUUGGGUCCCGCCUGGAUUUCUCGGGUCCCCUCAGUAGUGGAAGACAACAUGCCUAGGGGAAACUGGUUUACCCCAAAUCCCUAUUUGGCCGGGUCGGGCAUCUCCUCCUCUAAAUGGUCAUUACAUCGUCGAGGCUUUCCCUUGAUGAAUGAUCCUACCUGGGCCCAGUGGGUUGACGAAUUGGAGCCCUUUUUCAAGCAAAAAUGGAUGAGCAACGGUAUUUAUGAAUUACUUGUGCUUUCGAAGACUUCCAUUGUCCCUAAGCCCGAAUUGCUCACUUCUGCUCUCCUCUUUUGGAAUACGGGCACAAAUACCUUUGAUUUUCGUAUGGGUCCCAUGUCUCCCACCAUUCUCGAUAUGGCCCAGGUCUUCUGGUUGAGGCCGUCGGGCAGGACAGUAGAUGUUACUCAAGAUUGGGUUCCGUCUUCUACCACCGGGAGUUCGAGUUCUUCUACCACCUUCCUUCCUCUGAGCUAUAACUCCGCCACUUUCAAGAGUUAUGGGACCUCCUUUAAAGGAUUCAUUCCUUUUGUAAAGGAAAAUUUUGGGGCAGGCUCCCCUCGGGCUAACAAAGAUCAAGAACAUAUGUACUUUCUCCUUUACUGGCUAAACAAGCAUGUCUUCCCCAACAAAUCUAAGGGAGUGAGGGUAGAAUGGAUCCCCUUGGUGAAGGUUCUUCACAAUUUUGAUGAUGUAGCCAUAGGUCCAUUUCUUCUCUCCCAUCUCUAUCACCUUCUUUUCGAAAUGACUCGGGAUGAGCCCUUUGAGACCAACUUGAACGGACCAAUCUGGAUGAUACAACUUUGGCUGCAAUGGUAUUUUCCAGAAUUUCGGGCUGCCAACCUAGAGUUUCCAGAGGGUGUGGCUCCUGCCCGAAUUCUAGCAGAAGCUCCUCCUACAGACCAUUCCACCUUCGCCUGCUUUUACUUUUUCAGAGUCUGCAGGACUCGAUCAGACUUGGAAUGGGGUGCGUCAGUCUUGAGGAGAUACCCUUGGUUCUCUGACCAAGCCUUCCAAGAUGCCCCCGGUGAGGAUGCUACCCCCUUUUGUAGAGAAAAAUUUAUCAGCUGUAUUCAACCAAGAGACUUGGCCUGGGGGGUUCGGGGCAAUAGAUAUGAUCGAAGCCUGGAGGUGUACCAUCCUAACUUCUGCAGCCGGCAGUUAGGAUUUAGGCAAGCUAUACCUGUCCCAUUCUUCGACUCUAUCCAUUAUGGCACCUCAUUCCGGUUACAAACCCCAACUGAAGUGACAUUCCGAGCCGCCCGACGUAGCCUGGAUGUAAUGAGUCAAGCAGCCCGACAUUCCAUUGUUCUUAAUUUUGAAUGCACCUCGUUGUUUUCAUCUUGGUGGGAGGAUAAAUUGACUAGAAAGUAUGGAGGAGAUUUGAAGGUGAAUCACGAUCACAUCUUUAACCAGCUUUCUCUUAAAUCAUAUCCUGGCUCGGGCGAGCUUGCAAAUUGGAAGGAGAUGAUUCAAGAGAAAAACCGGUUACUUCUAAUAGGUACCUCUCUUUCCAUCUGAUUUUGUUUUCCCUCUGAUGUCCAUUUUCCCUCAUAUUUGCUUGAUCCUGCAGCUCCAGUAGAUACAGAAUCUGAAGCCAUUGAAUCGGAGAAUGAUUCUGCUGAUGCUGCAAUUCUUCAUGGUGCUACCACAGAGGCUGAGAGACGAGAAGCUGGGGAGGGGACGGAUAUCUCAGAAUCCAUUGGUGAUUCGGGAGCUGAAUGAACUCCCAGGAUAAUCACUAAAGCCCCCAAGCGAAAGAAAGCAGCCAUGACUAAAUAUUCAAACCCUGAUCCUGCACCUCGUCCAGCAACCAUACGACCAGUUCUUACUCGAAAGAGUAAGCGGGCAAGGAUUACUAUUCCUCUUGAAUCAUCAAUCCCAUCUGCUCCAGUUCCUGAGGCAGGCAGAAAGAAGCAACAAUCAUCAAGUGAGUUUCUUUUUUCUAUUUCAAACUGCUACCUUUCUCCCUUAUCUAAUUGUCCUUUUUAUCGAUCAACAGGACCUCAAGCAUCUAAAAGACCAAUCCUUGCUUCUAAGGAAGAACCUCUAAGAGCUGCUAUGCUUAAAAAGGCCGAAGAAUUGCGAAACACCGUCCUCCGGGAACUCGAGGUAUGACUGAUAUUGUUGCAUAAUUUCUGACUUUCAUACAACUCUAAACUUGAUUAUUCUGACUCAGGCUGCAAGAGAGGAAACGCUCUCUUCGCCCGAGGCCUCUCCACAACCUGCCCGAGAGAAAAAUCUUUCUUCCUCCCAGACCAGUCCUGCUGAGGUACUUCUCUCCCCCUCUUUCUUGGAUCUCUCUCCCAUUUAUGGAUCUAAUGGCUAAGGCCUUUUUCUUCUUCUAUUUUGUCUUCCUAGGCUGGUGCAUCUGCCUCUUUGCCCAGUCAGGGACCUCCUCUGAGAUCCAUGGCCUCUUCCACUGCUCUAGAUGCGACCCCUUCUUCUCAAUUUGAUCCGUCCACAGGAGUGAUGUUACACUUCGUGGAUGAAGAUGAUCCUUUGGUGAGUUAUUAUUUCCUUAUUGAAAUUCUGCACAUUGCUACCCAAUUAACUCCUAUUCAUGUUUUCUGCAGCCGUCUCCAGUGUAUGAGUCACCUCCCUCACUAGUGGUCUCAGAUAAGGAACCCAUAGUUCCUGAGAUCCCUGUUACUUCAGAUGCUGCCAUUUCGCAGGCGUUUGCUUGCCCGAUAGUUGAUGAACCCUCUUCUCCUCCUCCAGAUCAGACUCAGGUACUGGAAUGUUUUCUUCUUGCUCCUUCCUCUGGUGACCCUUUUGCUGAUAAUUACUGCUUUCUUUGGAUAUAUCCAGGAUGCAGGCAUAGGUUCAGGCGCAGCUCCUCCUGCUGGCGGUGAAGAACCUUCUUCCCAACCAAGAGUUAAUACAUUCUCUGGUGAAACCCCGGAGCUGAGUCGGGUAAACUUCUUCUCUCCAGAACCUCAUUUGCUUCAACCUGUAUUUGAAUCAACUUGACCGAGUCUUUUGGUUUUUGUAGCAAGCUUCAAAAGAAACUUCCGCUCUUCCAUUAGCUCGUAAAUCAAAGCGCCCCCUUCCUUAUUCAUCUUCUGGAGGUAUUGGUACCUCCUUCUGGAGUUGAGCAGACUAAGCAGGCAGACAUUACCCCCUCAAUAGGCAUUGUCUCAUCGGAGAGAACUAUCGGGCUAGACCCUCCUCCUUUCUCAUCCUCUGAUCCUGCCAAGCUGCCAAAACUCUUUGAAGCACUCGGGCGACUUAAGACGCGGCUGAAAUCUUCAACGCAGCCUUCAGUAACCUCCAUGUCUUUGGAGCAAAAGCAAAUCUUUCAGGAAUGGGCAAAGAAAGAAUUCACCGCGUCAUUUAGUCUCAAGGCUCUUUGUGAUCUUGAGAAGGUCAUAACCGAAUUUUUCAAAACUGGUCGUUUGUCCAAGCCUCAGCAUGAUUCUUUUUUCUCCUUCUUCGAGAACUUGCAGGCUCUCAGGGAACAAUACCAGAGAGCGGAUAGACAGGCUAACCGGGCAAAAUGCUUCAUGGAGAAAGAAUCAAACUCCUCUACCCAAGUUAAACGGCUGAUGGAAGAAAGCAUGCAGACCAAAGAGAGGGUUAAAGUGGUUUCUUCUGAAAUCCAGAAGCUUGAAGAGCAACUGAUUGCCUUAAAGGCAGAAAGAGCAACUCUUCUAGAUACCCUUGAACACCAAAUCGAAGGGGUAGAAGAAGCGACUUCGGAGCUAGAACAAGCCAAGUCCAAACUUGUAAAUAGCCAUACUAUUUUGGCCGAACCUAGUAGGAUUUUUACCAUCAUGCGAACAUAUCAUUCCAGAGUAAUCACUCUAUGUAAAGAUGUAAAGUUUUUAGAGUAGAAUGAUUUGCGACUCCCUUUUAUAUUGGAAUGGAUAUAUAAUUUGCUUCCUGCUUUGCUCUGUUUGAACUAGCUUCGGGCAACUCUUUGCCUCCUUGUCUACUUGCUUUUCCACCUUUAUUGUUGACAACCUUAGAACCCGCAUCUGGCCCUCUGGUCCCCCUUAUGGCACUCUUACUCAGCUGAUGAUCCCGGCUCCUUAAAAAUAAGGUUGAUCAUAUUUAUAGAAGCUUCCGGGAAAGGUUUAGUAUCCACCAUCAUACUGGCCUGGGGUGAAUCAAGUAGCAGCUUACCCUUCACUAUAAGAUCUUGUACCCAAUCUCUAAACUGGACACAAUUAACUAUAGAAUGGUUGAAGGUAUAAUGCAGCUUGCAAUACUUCUUCCCCCUGAUUUCUUCGGGCUUGGGCAUCUUUUUGGCACUGUCGGGCAAAAUUACUCUCGCCCGCACCAACUCUUCAUAGAUCUCCGGUGCCUUGGUUAAAUCAAACGAAUAGCUCUGAUAUUUUGGGGGCUUCAUGGGGACGAAACCACCAUCAUUCAUCACGAUCUUCUGAUCCUUGACAGGUUGGACUAAUCCUUUGAUCGUCAAUGGUUUGAAGGGUGUGGUCAUUUCAGCAGCACAUACUUCUAUAUUUCUUCCUCAUGACCAUCUUCGUGUUCGGGCCUGGUUUCUCCCACCUCCAUAUGGUGAAUAGUAGCCUUGCUUUUGUAGAAAUGAGGGGCUUUGGAAGUGUGCUUCACUUGCUGUUCCUCUUGCAACAACCUCUCGUACUUCGUGGCAGCAAUCACGAGUUCUUGUAGCUCACUGAACUGUGCAUCAUAAAACCUUUUUCUCAGAGGUAAUUUUAAAGCCAUUUGAGCAAUGGAUAUGAGCUGUGCUUGAUUGACGGGGAAUUGGCAUCUCAUCUUGGUCCUCCUGAACCUCAUCAUGAAGUCUUCCGUGGAUUCAUGAUCGUAUUGUUUUACCUCCACUAGAUCAUUGAUGGUCAAUUCUGGCUCUAUCCUGUAGAACUGUUCAUGAAAAGCCAUCUCCAUUUGCCCCCAGUUGGCAAUAGAGUUGGGGGGUAAUAGAGAAUACCAUUGAGACGCCAAUCCUGCCAACGAAUUUCCAAACAACCUCAAUUUGUAGUUUGGAUUGUCCUCAUACGCCAUACAGUGAUUGGAGAAUUUGAAAAUAUGGUCUCUGGAAGACACACUGUUGUCUUCACCUGUGAAGGUAGGGAAUGCGGGCAUCUUGAAGUUGAGAGGGAAUGGAUUUAGUUCGUCGAUAUGUUCAGGAUACGGCUUCUGGUAAGUAAUCCUGAAUACUGGGCGAGCCCGCGGCUGGGCGUUUUGAGUCACCGUCCUUCUUAACUCAGCCAACUCCUCCCUUAGUUGCUGAGUGGCUAAAUUAUCAUUAUAACCGAGGAUAGCUGAUCCAAUCUUCGGGCUCCGGUCAUUGCCCGCAUUUGCUUCUCUCCUUGGUUCGGGCCUUCUCCAGUUAGAUCCUCCACCUUUAUUGACCAUCGGGGGUGGUCUAUAGGGUGGAGGUUUAUCUGACGCAGUAGUGGUAGUAGUAGUGGUAGUUUCCUUUCCACUAGUUUCUCCCAUCAUACCUGGCAUUCCGUACCUCAUCAUUUCCUGUUCGUUCUGCCCCCUUUUAUUAAAUGAUAAUAAUGGGAAACUAGGAAACCCUUUUUCCAGGAUCGGCUCCAUCACUGGUUGACUUCCCUCAGGAAUUACUUUUUUCUUUCCCUUAUCUCCUGUUUCUUCUAUUAGUGGAAAUAAGGGAAUGAUUGGCUCAUCUCUCGUGAUAACCUGGCUCAUUCCACUUCCUUGAGCACCCUUUGGAGUAGAGAACUCCAAAUCAAGCCUUCUUUGUAGAUUCCCUGUAAGCAUACAAAGUCUGCUUACUUCUCCCUUUGUUUCUAGGGAGAUCAUUUCCAUGCUUUUUAACACUUGGAUCAUUGUAGCUUGUAAUUCUUCAUUGCUUCCCUUUCCUUGUGAUCUUUCAGAUGCAGUCGGGCUAUCUGGAACCACCUGUCCGGAUGGGGAAGAAGGAUUUUCUGAUUGUCCUGCCAUUUGGAGAAGACCUUCCUUAGGAUUCCUUUUAUCGAGUUUAUGGUUCUUCUUUUUGGACAUGCAAGAUCUGGAAGCCUUUGUCCCACUGGGCGUGCCAAAACUAUGUUCGUGGCAGGAAUUUCCGCUGGGGAUGUUUCCUAGCCGACGAGCACACAGCUCCCCUGGAGGUUGGCGCCGGUUGAGGGCUGCUGUCGGGCUUCUGCUUCAUUUCUGGGCGUUGUCGGGCAAGUCUUGUCGGGCAAGACUCUUCGGGCAAGGCUCUUCGGGCAAGGCUGAAAGAGAAGGACAGCGUUAACUUUGAGAGGUGCCUUUGUGGGGCCUUAGGUGUAGGCCUUGAGGCUCACAAUCAAGGUUAACAUUUAGGUGCUCAGGCGUGCCACUGCCAUCUUUAGCAUGGCAGAUGUAAAAUGGUUGUCGUUCUUUCAUUGUAUAUAUAUAUAUAUAUGUAUCCAAGAAACCGUGUUAGUUACAACAGGUGCCUUUGUGGGGCCUUAAAUGUAGGCCUUGAGGCUUCCCAUCAAUAACUAAACCAGUGCUCGAACACAUAAUAUUUAUUUUUGUGAUUGUAGGAGUCUUCUAACUAUUAUAUUUCUGAUUACCCGGAUCCAAGGAAUAGAACGAACCCAAAUGGGUGCCUUUGUGGGGCCUUAGGUGUAGGCCUUGAGGCUUCCCAUCAGAGUUCAUUCUUAUGCUUAGACUCUUAAGAUCGCUGAAUAGGAUGAAUCCAAAUGGAUGCCUUUGUGAGGCCUUAGGUGUAGGCCUUGAGGCUUUCCAUUAGAGUUCAUCCCAUACUUAAGCAUUCUAUGAUAAUCAUGAUAUAAUAGAAAGAAAACUAGAAGGUAGGUCGAUUACUUUCGCCCCAAGUAACUUCGGACUUCUCGUUUAUCAAGGAUUGUCGUGGAUGGGUUAAGUCCACAUAAAGUUCUUUUUUAUGCCUUGAGGCCAAGGACUUUUAAACUAAUCAGAUUUACAUGCCUGUGGGCUUAAGACUUGGAUCUGAUUUAAGCAUCGAAGAUAUAUUUAAAUCGGAUCCAAGUAUUGAGAAAGCUUUGUCAUAGUGAUUUUGCUAGGAACAGACUUGCAUAUACUAAUAAUAUACAACAUAUUGCUAGACUUUAAAGAAAGAGAAGACAAAGACAGAACAAAGCAGGUCGGGCAAGAUUAAACCUUAUCAAUUAAGGUUGAUCGUCUUGCAGGUCCCUAUCUUUAUGGUUCUGUCACAGGUCUGGAAGCUUAGAGGUGGAGAGGGGAAGAAGAAUACAAAAGGGUGAAUCGAUACUACAACAAGUUAGAGCAGGGUAGCAGAGCUAUUACAAAGUUUAGGAGAAAAGAGUAUCCCGCGGGGGAUAAAGGUUGGUCCCGAAUGGGAUGAAGGCUUGGCUGACUACAGCUUCGUUUGGAAGGCAAAUCUGGCUUUGAGCAGAGUUUUGGCUUGCAGUUGUUUGUUUGUUUGAGUGUCCUUGCUCCUGUCUUCUCUUCUUCCUUUUAUAGACGACUUGACUCGGCUUCCUGUAGCAACAGCUUUGCCCGAAUGCGG